GCCCUGGCGGCUUAAUGGUUAAGUGCUCAGCUGCUAACCCAAAAGCUGGUGGUUCCAAUCCACCCGGGGGCU
rnacentral:tRNA from 1 species